CAAAUUUCUAUGAUUAAUAUCUCCUUCCGCAGAGUAGAUUGAAAAUUUUUUCUACCUGAUUCUUUCGUUUCGUGCAAAAACGGAUCGAAUGAAUGUAAUUUUAUCGAAAUUAGAGUUGAAGAAAGAAAGUUACUUAACUGUUUAGGAUUUAAAAUACAAUUAAAACAAUAUUCCAAUGCGUUUUAAGCCUCGUUUUUGUGCAUAUUGCAAACGGACACGUAUACGUCAAUCAGGAUAUUCCUUUUUCAAGUUUCCAUUGGAUAAAUCAAAUCUUUUAAAGAAAUGGCUUGAUAAUAUGGGAAUCAAGAAUUGGACUCCAGACAAAAGCAGUGUUUUAUGUUCAGACCAUUUUGAGCAAACUUGUUUACGCAAGUAACAUUUGAUGAGAAUUUAAAACAGAAUCAGAAGAUACAAUUUAAUGAUAAUAAAUCUGACCUUCCACAAAAGGCUUCUUGCAAUAAAUUAAUCCAAACUUACUCAGAUGAUGAAGAUAUAGACAGACUAUUAAUGUUUAAUAAGACUGAAAUUGUAAACCUUGAUCAUCAUUAUCAUAUUUCUCCAUCAAGACUAAUUGAAAAACUCAUAAAAAGUCAAGAAACAUUAAAGAAGAGACGAGAUAAAAUUCAAA
rnacentral:misc_RNA from 1 species